UACGGAGGGUGCAAGCGUUAUCCGGAUUCACUGGGUUUAAAGGGUGCGUAGGCGGGCAGGUAAGUCAGUGGUGAAAUCUUUGGGCUUAACCCGAAAACUGCCAUUGAUACUAUCUGUCUUGAAUAUUGUGGAGGUUUGCGGAAUAUGUCAUGUAGCGGUGAAAUGCUUAGAGAUGACAUAGAACACCUAUUGCGAAGGCAGCAAACUACGCAUAUAUUGACGCUGAGGCACGAAAGCGUGGGGAUCAAACAGG
rnacentral:rRNA from 2 species